UAGACAAAAACCUAACAUUAGAACAAAAUUAUUCCUUGCUCUCUCUCUCUAACUUUUUGGCCUCAAGAGGACCAGCAGGAAACCAGAACAAAACUUCAUCAAUUUUCUAGGUAUUCUAGCAUAAAUCAAAGGUGUAGUUCAAAGGGUCUCCGUUCAACGCGUGAUUUUCAAUUCAGGUCGAUUGGCACACUUGAAUUUAGAAACGAGGUAAGGGAAAGGCUAAGGCUGAACAUCAGUGAGUCCAGAGCUUAGGGGUGAUUGUACAUGUCAAGAUGGUUAGACCUAGAAAUUUCAAUCUUGUGAUGACUUGGGCCAUACUUUUGUAGUCGAUGUGCAACAUGUUUAUAAAGUAUAUUUUAGAUAUGAAUGUAAUUUUAAAGACGGAAUCCCAACUUUUUGUAUGGAUAUAUAUAAUAAUAGAAGUUUAAAUUUGACACAA